rnacentral:rRNA from 1 species
UCAGCAGUCAAGAAUAUUAGUCAAUGCUCGAAAGAGUGAACUAGCUAACUGAAAUCAUUAAAAAUUGAUAACAUAAGGGAAAAUAAUGAUAUUACCUUAUUAUUAGUGUCGUCCAAAACUGGUGCCAGAAGACUCGGUAAGGCCAGAGACACAAACGUUAAUCGUCUUAAUCAGGCGUAAAGGGUUUGUAGGCGGCUUUUAAUUUACUUAUAAAUCUUAUAAAUCUUAUAAAAUAAGUUAAGAAUAAAAGCUAGAAUCAAAUAGAGGAUAUAUUAAAUAAUGCUUAGAGUAGGUCUGAUAUCCUUAGAUACUAAGUAGAAUAUUAAAGGCGAAAGCUUUUUUCCAUAAAUGAUUGACGCUCAGAAACGAAGGUGAGGAUAGGAAAUAGGAUUAGAUACCCAAAAUACCCCUCUCUGUCAACGAUGAAUGGUAGUUAUUAAUAAUAAAUUUAUUAUUAAUGGCAAUGUUAACACGAUAACCAUUCCGCCUUGUGAGUACAACUGCAAAGUUGAAAACAAAAAAAUUAGUCGGUUUCGGAGCAAACGAAGUGAAGCAUGUUAUUUAAUUCGAUAAUCCGCAA